rnacentral:rRNA from 1 species
UUAAGCGACUAAGCGUACACGGUGGAUGCCCUGGCAGUCAGAGGCGAUGAAGGACGUGCUAAUCUGCGAUAAGCGUCGGUAAGGUGAUAUGAACCGUUAUAACCGGCGAUUUCCGAAUGGGGAAACCCAGUGUGUUUCGACACACUAUCAUUAACUGAAUCCAUAGGUUAAUGAGGCGAACCGGGGGAACUGAAACAUCUAAGUACCCCGAGGAAAAGAAAUCAACCGAGAUUCCCCCAGUAGCGGCGAGCGAACGGGGAGCAGCCCAGAGCCUGAAUCAGUGUGUGUGUUAGUGGAAGCGUCUGGAAAGGCGCGCGAUACAGGGUGACAGCCCCGUACACAAAAAUGCACAUACUGUGAGCUCGAUGAGUAGGGCGGGACACGUGGUAUCCUGUCUGAAUAUGGGGGGACCAUCCUCCAAGGCUAAAUACUCCUGACUGACCGAUAGUGAACCAGUACCGUGAGGGAAAGGCGAAAAGAACCCCGGCGAGGGGAGUGAAAAAGAACCUGAAACCGUGUACGUACAAGCAGUGGGAGCACGCUUAGGCGUGUGACUGCGUACCUUUUGUAUAAUGGGUCAGCGACUUAUAUUCUGUAGCAAGGUUAACCGAAUAGGGGAGCCGAAGGGAAACCGAGUCUUAACUGGGCGUUAAGUUGCAGGGUAUAGACCCGAAACCCGGUGAUCUAGCCAUGGGCAGGUUGAAGGUUGGGUAACACUAACUGGAGGACCGAACCGACUAAUGUUGAAAAAUUAGCGGAUGACUUGUGGCUGGGGGUGAAAGGCCAAUCAAACCGGGAGAUAGCUGGUUCUCCCCGAAAGCUAUUUAGGUAGCGCCUCGUGAAUUCAUCUCCGGGGGUAGAGCACUGUUUCGGCAAGGGGGUCAUCCCGACUUACCAACCCGAUGCAAACUGCGAAUACCGGAGAAUGUUAUCACGGGAGACACACGGCGGGUGCUAACGUCCGUCGUGAAGAGGGAAACAACCCAGACCGCCAGCUAAGGUCCCAAAGUCAUGGUUAAGUGGGAAACGAUGUGGGAAGGCCCAGACAGCCAGGAUGUUGGCUUAGAAGCAGCCAUCAUUUAAAGAAAGCGUAAUAGCUCACUGGUCGAGUCGGCCUGCGCGGAAGAUGUAACGGGGCUAAACCAUGCACCGAAGCUGCGGCAGCGACGCUUAUGCGUUGUUGGGUAGGGGAGCGUUCUGUAAGCCUGUGAAGGUGUGCUGUGAGGCAUGCUGGAGGUAUCAGAAGUGCGAAUGCUGACAUAAGUAACGAUAAAGCGGGUGAAAAGCCCGCUCGCCGGAAGACCAAGGGUUCCUGUCCAACGUUAAUCGGGGCAGGGUGAGUCGACCCCUAAGGCGAGGCCGAAAGGCGUAGUCGAUGGGAAACAGGUUAAUAUUCCUGUACUUGGUGUUACUGCGAAGGGGGGACGGAGAAGGCUAUGUUGGCCGGGCGACGGUUGUCCCGGUUUAAGCGUGUAGGCUGGUUUUCCAGGCAAAUCCGGAAAAUCAAGGCUGAGGCGUGAUGACGAGGCACUACGGUGCUGAAGCAACAAAUGCCCUGCUUCCAGGAAAAGCCUCUAAGCAUCAGGUAACAUCAAAUCGUACCCCAAACCGACACAGGUGGUCAGGUAGAGAAUACCAAGGCGCUUGAGAGAACUCGGGUGAAGGAACUAGGCAAAAUGGUGCCGUAACUUCGGGAGAAGGCACGCUGAUAUGUAGGUGAAGUCCCUCGCGGAUGGAGCUGAAAUCAGUCGAAGAUACCAGCUGGCUGCAACUGUUUAUUAAAAACACAGCACUGUGCAAACACGAAAGUGGACGUAUACGGUGUGACGCCUGCCCGGUGCCGGAAGGUUAAUUGAUGGGGUCAGCGCAAGCGAAGCUCUUGAUCGAAGCCCCGGUAAACGGCGGCCGUAACUAUAACGGUCCUAAGGUAGCGAAAUUCCUUGUCGGGUAAGUUCCGACCUGCACGAAUGGCGUAAUGAUGGCCAGGCUGUCUCCACCCGAGACUCAGUGAAAUUGAACUCGCUGUGAAGAUGCAGUGUACCCGCGGCAAGACGGAAAGACCCCGUGAACCUUUACUAUAGCUUGACACUGAACAUUGAGCCUUGAUGUGUAGGAUAGGUGGGAGGCUUUGAAGUGUGGACGCCAGUCUGCAUGGAGCCGACCUUGAAAUACCACCCUUUAAUGUUUGAUGUUCUAACGUUGACCCGUAAUCCGGGUUGCGGACAGUGUCUGGUGGGUAGUUUGACUGGGGCGGUCUCCUCCUAAAGAGUAACGGAGGAGCACGAAGGUUGGCUAAUCCUGGUCGGACAUCAGGAGGUUAGUGCAAUGGCAUAAGCCAGCUUGACUGCGAGCGUGACGGCGCGAGCAGGUGCGAAAGCAGGUCAUAGUGAUCCGGUGGUUCUGAAUGGAAGGGCCAUCGCUCAACGGAUAAAAGGUACUCCGGGGAUAACAGGCUGAUACCGCCCAAGAGUUCAUAUCGACGGCGGUGUUUGGCACCUCGAUGUCGGCUCAUCACAUCCUGGGGCUGAAGUAGGUCCCAAGGGUAUGGCUGUUCGCCAUUUAAAGUGGUACGCGAGCUGGGUUUAGAACGUCGUGAGACAGUUCGGUCCCUAUCUGCCGUGGGCGCUGGAGAACUGAGGGGGGCUGCUCCUAGUACGAGAGGACCGGAGUGGACGCAUCACUGGUGUUCGGGUUGUCAUGCCAAUGGCACUGCCCGGUAGCUAAAUGCGGAAGAGAUAAGUGCUGAAAGCAUCUAAGCACGAAACUUGCCCCGAGAUGAGUUCUCCCUGACCCUUUAAGGGUCCUGAAGGAACGUUGAAGACGACGACGUUGAUAGGCCGGGUGUGUAAGCGCAGCGAUGCGUUGAGCUAACCGGUACUAAUGAACCGUGAGGCUUAACCUU